rnacentral:rRNA from 1 species
AAUGAACGUUGGCGGCGUGGAUUAGGCAUGCAAGUCGCGCGAUUUCCUUCGGGGAAGAGCGGCGGAAGGGAGAGUAACGCGUAGAUACCUACCCUCGGGACCGGAAUAGCGACGGGAAACUGUCGGUAAUGCCGGAUAACGUCCCUGGACCAAAGGUGUGAAUCCGCCUGAGGAGGGGUCUGCGUCCUAUUAGCUAGUCGGCGGGGUAACGGCCCACCGAGGCGAAGAUGGGUACCGGGCGUGAGAGCGUGACCCGGCUCACUGGGACUGAGACACGGCCCAGACACCGACGGGUGGCUGCAGUCGAGAAUCUUCGGCAAUGAGCGCAAGCUUGACCGAGCGACGCCGCGUGCGGGAUGAAGGCUUUCGGGUUGUAAACCGCUGUCAGUGGGGAGGAAAUUCUUGGGGGUACUCCCCCUUGAUUGACCGAUCCGCAGAGGAAGGACGGGCUAAGUUCGUGCCAGCAGCCGCCGUAA